ACACAGCCACCCCACCCCCCUCUGCAGGAGACCCUCCAACACCAGCAGAUGCUCCAUCCUGGCUGGAGGAGGUGUCCUCCUCACUCUUCCCCCUCAGGAGAACAGGCUAGACCUUGGAGAGACCUUUUUAAUCUCAAGGGUUGAAACCAAAUGGCCUCAGGAAUUAACCUGGGACACCCAGACCAUGUACACAUUUGCCUUGUCUCCUGGAGGACCUUAGCCAAGCAGAAGAGAAAGGGGUUUUGGACCCUAGAGAACCAGCCUAUCACCAUGAAAAGGAAUGCAGCGCUGAUAUGCGAAUUCACAACAUGUAAGAACCUUGAAAACUUUACGCUGAGUGAAAGGAUGAAGACACAGAAGACCUGUGUGAUUUCAUUUCUAUGAAAUGUCCGGAACAGCAGCGGGAUCUUCGUUCCCCGACCUGGGAUCAAACCCAUGCCCAC